AACCACCUUCGGGUGGGGAUUAGUGGCGAACGGGUGAGUAACACGUGGGCAAUCUGCCCUGCACUCUGGGACAAGCCCUGGAAACGGGGUCUAAUACCGGAUACUGACCCGCCUGGGCAUCCAGGCGGUUCGAAAGCUCCGGCGGUGCAGGAUGAGCCCGCGGCCUAUCAGCUUGUUGGUGAGGUAACGGCUCACCAAGGCGACGACGGGUAGCCGGCCUGAGAGGGCGACCGGCCACACUGGGACUGAGACACGGCCCAGACUCCUACGGGAGGCAGCAGUGGGGAAUAUUGCACAAUGGGCGCAAGCCUGAUGCAGCGACGCCGCGUGAGGGAUGACGGCCUUCGGGUUGUAAACCUCUUUCAGCAGGGAAGAAGCGCAAGUGACGGUACCUGCAGAAGAAGCGCCGGCUAACUACGUGCCAGCAGCCGCGGUAAUACGUAGGGCGCGAGCGUUGUCCGGAAUUAUUGGGCGUAAAGAGCUCGUAGGCGGCUUGUCGCGUCGGUUGUGAAAGCCCGGGGCUUAACCCCGGGUCUGCAGUCGAUACGGGCAGGCUAGAGUUCGGUAGGGGAGAUCGGAAUUCCUGGUGUAGCGGUGAAAUGCGCAGAUAUCAGGAGGAACACCGGUGGCGAAGGCGGAUCUCUGGGCCGAUACUGACGCUGAGGAGCGAAAGCGUGGGGAGCGAACAGGAUUAGAUACCCUGGUAGUCCACGCCGUAAACGGUGGGCACUAGGUGUGGGCGACAUUCCACGUCGUCCGUGCCGCAGCU
rnacentral:rRNA from 1 species